UUUGUAUUUUUCUUUUUUUUCCUUCUUCAUUUUUUUAUGACCGACUAUUAAUAAGUGCGAUGAAAAUCGCUUUAUUUAAUAAAAAAAGGUUACUUAAAAAAAAAAAAAAAAAAAAAAAAAAAAGCAAUUCAUAUAGUUUCACUUGUCGAACAUUAAUGUAAAUAGUUGAUAUUGUUCAUACUGUUUUGUGCAACAAGUAACACGACGAGUUUCCUGAGUUACUUGGUACUAUAUAUAACAAUAACGUGUAAUAAUAACAUAUAACAAUAACAUGUAAUAAUAACACGUAAUAAUAACAUAUAACAAUAACAUGUAAUAAUAACACGUAACAAUAACAUGUAACAAUAACAUGUAACAAUAACAUGUAACAAUAACAUAUAACAAUAACAUGUAACAAUAACAUGUAAUGAUAACAUGUAAUGAUAACAUGUAAUAAUAACAUGUAAUAAUAACAUGUAAUAAUAACAUGUAAUAAUAACAUAUAAUAAAUGAGCGUUACCUUUUUAUACAAUGAUUUCAGAUUGUAAAUACUCUUGGUAGAAAAAAAAAAAAAAAAAAAAAAAAAAAAAAAAAAAAAAGUAAUGCGUUUUUAUUUUUAACUAUGGGUGAUGAGGGCCAUGAACAAAUAGUUAAAUUUGGCUAUACACAUAAUAACGGUACUACUGCUGCUAAAAGUAAUAACACUAGUAGUCGUAACAGGUACAACAAGUAUCCUAAUAGUUAUAAUGAAAACAGAGAAAAAGAAGAGGAAGAAAAAAAAAAAAAAAAAAAUGAAAUAAUAAAAAACCAUAGUAAUAAUAAAGUUGCGAAAAAUGAAACAAGUUUGGGUAAUAAUGCAAACUCUGGCAUUUCUGCCAAUUCGAGUACUUUAGUAAAUUCAUAUAAAAAAAAUUUUUUACAAAAAAAAAAAAACAAGAACUAUUCAACAAAUGAUUACUCAUUUGAAAAAGCAAUUUACAUAGAUAAAUCAAAUAAUAACAAGUUUUACGAAGAAAAAAAAAAAAAAAUUUCCAAUUCAACAAAUGAUUUAAACCGUUUUUUUUCGAACGAAAAUAAUAGCAUAACGAAUAACAACAAAAUAAAUAAUACACGUGUGGGAUUUUAUGACAAUAUAAAUAUAGACCAACACAGCUCUAAUUUUAAUGAAAAUCAAAAUCAAAACAAAAAUCAAAACAAAAAUCAAAACAAAAACCAAAACCAAAACCAAAACCAAAACCAAAACCAAAACAAAAAUCAAAACAAAAAUCAAAACAAAAAUCAAAACAAAAAUCAAAACAAAAAUCAAAAUCAAAAUCAAAAUCAAAACAAAAACAAAAACAUGCUUGACAACAACAAAAAACUUGAGGUACAAACAGAUACAAACAGUGCCGACCCGAGUAACACAAAUAAAUACAACAAAUAUAAAGAAAAGCAUAAGUCACUACUAAGCAAAGAGAGAACAAGCCCUAUUAAUGAUAUAAAUAAUGACAUAAAUAAUGAUGUAAAAAGCGACAACACCAACACCAACACCAACACCAACACCAAUACCAAUACCAACAACAACAACAACAACAACAACAACAGUUAUUACAUAAAGAAUAAACACAUGACCAAUUUUGAAACGAAGAAAUAUAAAAAUAGUCAUGAGAAGAAUAAUAACAUAACGAAUAGAAACAGCAAACACUUUAAGAAUGUGAAUGAAACCCAAAAUAAAUAUUCAAGUAGAAAUACACACCCCAUUGAAAAUGAAAAUAAUAACAUAAACACUAACAAUUUUUAUCACAAAUAUAAAUAUGAAAGUGGUAAAAAUAAAUACAAUAAUUCAAAUUUGAAUGUCAAUGUAAAGAAUAUAGGUUAUUACAAUACAUCUAAGUGUAACAAAUCUAAUUAUAGUCAAAAUGUUUACCACUACGAAAAUACCUAUUACAAUAAAACUAAUUAUUAUAAUAUGAAUUAUAAUAAUACUAAAUUGAAUGAUGAUAUUAAUUAUCGUUUUUAUUAUGGUGAUGCUUCCAAAUCGGAUAACUAUCAAGACUACCAUCAAUCAUCACAUAUGAUUUUUUCUAAAAAAGAGAACAACAUCGGUUAUAUUCGUAACGACUCGUAUAAUAAAAAACAGAACUUCUUUCAUAAUAAGUCUAACAGUCAGCAACUGUCUUUGGAACGCCAAACUAACACUCCAUAUGAUCAGUUUCAUAAACACUCGAACCAAAAACGACAAGAUGAUGAUGAUGAUAAUGAUAAUGAUAAUGAUGAUGAUGAUAGACUUAAUUAUAAUAACAAUUUAAAUAGAAAUUUUUUUAAACAUAAUUCAAAAUUUGAUGCACAUAACAAAAAUAAAUAUAAUUAUAAUAAACAACACAUAGUCAAUUACCCAAAAGUUGGUUUUGACAGGUAUAAUAAUGAUAAAGAUAAUGGAAAAAAAUAUGAACGUGUGCAUAAUAAUAUGAUAUCAAAUGAAAUAAAAAUCGACUCCAAUAAAAAUUGUAAGCGCAUGUAUAACGACGGCGGUAAUAGUGAUAAUGAUAGUAAAAUUAAGUCACAAGAACAUUUUAAAAUUAAUAAUUAUGAAACGUACGCGACUCCCCAAUUUAAUAGUUUUAACUUAGACGUAUCCCAAAAGAUGGAAUCUUAUAUGAAUUACACAAAAAAAGAUUUUUCUUUCAACCAACAAAAAGUAAGCGCACAGAACGAACAUAAUAAAGUAAAUAUAAUAAAUCAAAAAAAUGAUAGCUCAAUUAUAAGCGAAUGCGAAACGAAUGACUCAAAUUGUAAAGAAGCUGAAACAUGCUUUGAAAGUGUUGAUAAAAAUGAAAUAUUAAGAGAAGCAGAAACUUGUUCCGGUAAAAAGGAAGUAAAUGAAAUAGACAACGUGGCUAGCGAAAAAAAAGGAAUAGGAGACACGAUUGGCGAAAAAAAAGAAAUAGGCAACGUGAUUAUCGAAAGAAAAAUAAAAAGAGAAGAAGAAAAAAAAAAAGUUAUGAACUGGAAAACGGAAGAACAAACAUUACUUGAAG
ensembl:lncRNA